AGGGUUUGAUCAUGGCUCAGAACGAACGCUGGCGGCGCGCCUAAUACAUGCAAGUCGAGCGAGAAGGUGUAGCAAUACACUUGUAAAGCGGCGAACGGGUGAGGAAUACAUGGGUAAUCUACCAUCGAGUGGGGAAUAACCAGCCGAAAGGUUGGCUAAUACCGCGUACGCCUCCGGAUCUUCGGGUUCGGAGGGAAAGCUGCACUGUGAGUGUAGCGCUCUUUGAUGAGCUCAUGUCCUAUCAGCUUGUUGGUAGGGUAACGGCCUACCAAGGCUUUGACGGGUAGCUGGUCUGAGAGGACGAUCAGCCACACUGGCACUGCGACACGGGCCAGACUCCUACGGGAGGCAGCAGUAAGGAAUAUUGCGCAAUGGGCGAAAGCCUGACGCAGCGACGCCGCGUGGGGGAUGAAGGUCUUCGGAUUGUAAACCCCUUUCGGGAGGGAAGAUGGAGCGAGCAAUCGUUCGGACGGUACCUCCAGAAGCAGCCACGGCCAACUUCGUGCCAGCAGCCGCGGUAAUACGAAGGUGGCAAGCGUUGUUCGGAUUCACUGGGCGUACAGGGUGUGUAGGCGGUUUGGUAAGCCUUCUGUUAAAGCUUCGGACCCAACCCGGAAAGCGCAGAGGGUACUGCCAGGCUAGAGGGUGGGAGAGGAGCGCGGAAUUCCCGGUGUAGCGGUGAAAUGCGUAGAGAUCGGGAGGAAGGCCGGUGGCGAAGGCGGCGCUCUGGAACACACCUGACGCUGAGACACGAAAGCGUGGGGAGCAAACAGGAUUAGAUACCCUGGUAGUCCACGCCCUAAACUAUGGAUACUAAGUGUCGGCGGGUUACCGCCGGUGCCGCAGCUAACGCAUUAAGUAUCCCGCCUGGAAGUACGGCCGCAAGG
rnacentral:rRNA from 1 species